UUAGAAGAUUUGCCUAUCAAGA
rnacentral:siRNA from 1 species